rnacentral:rRNA from 1 species
UCCCUACGGGGGGCAGCAGUGGGGAAUAUUGCACAAUGGGGGAAACCCUGAUGCAGCAACGCCGCGUGAGUGAAGAAGGUUUUCGGAUUGUAAAGCUCCAUCAGCAGGGAAGAAAAUGACGGUACCUGACUAAGAAGCCCCGGCUAACUACGUGCCAGCAGCCGCGGUAAUACGUAGGGGGCAAGCGUUAUCCGGAUUUACUGGGUGUAAAGGGAGCGCAGACGGCUGUGCAAGUCUGGAGUGAAAGGCGGGGGCCCAACCCCCGGACUGCUCUGGAAACUGUAAAGCUGGAGUGCAGGAGAGGG